rnacentral:rRNA from 1 species
UACGUAGGGAGCAAGCGUUGUCCGGAAUCAUUGGGCGUAAAGCGCGUGUAGGCGGCUCGGUAAGUCUGCUCUGAAAGUCCAAGGCUCAACCUUGGGAUGCGGGUGGAUACUGCCGGGCUCGAGUCCGGAAGAGGCGAGUGGAAUUCCUGGUGUAGCGGUGAAAUGCGCAGAUAUCAGGAGGAACACCAAUGGCGAAGGCAGCUCGCUGGGACGUGACUGACGCUGAGACGCGAAAGCGUGGGGAGCAAACAGG